UACGAAGGGGGCUAGCGUUGUUCGGAAUUACUGGGCGUAAAGCGCGCGCAGGCGGUUUUUCAAGUCAGUGGUGAAAGCCCGGAGCUCAACUCCGGAACUGCCAUUGAAACUGUAAAACUUGAGGACGAGAGAGGUGAGUGGAAUUCCCAGUGUAGAGGUGAAAUUCGUAGAUAUUCGGAAGAACACCAGUGGCGAAGGCGACUAACUGGACAUGUAUUGACGCUGAGGUGCGAAAGCGUGGGGAGCAAACAGG
rnacentral:rRNA from 1 species